rnacentral:rRNA from 1 species
CCUACGGGAGGCAGCAGUGGGGAAUUUUGGGCAAUGGGGGGAACCCUGACCCAGCAACGCCGCGUGAGCGAAGAAGUUAUUCGGAAUGUAAAGCUCUUUUUACAGGGAAGAAAGGGAAGUUACUCGGUACCGGAAGAGUGAGCUCCGGCUAACUACGUGCCAGCAGCCGCGGUAAGACGUAGGGGGCGAGCGUUAUCCGGGAUUAUUGGGCGGAAAGAGUGCGUAGAGGGCAUAGUAAGUCUUUUGUAAAAGUGCUGGGCUCAACCCAGGAGGGCAAAAGAUACUGCAAAGCUAGAGUAUGACAGAGGCAAGUGGAACUACAUGGGUAGCGGUAAAAUGCGUAAAUAUAUGUAAGAACACCAGUGGCGAAGGCGGCUUGCUGGGUCGAUACUGACAUUGAGGCACGAAAGCGUGGGGAGCAAACAGGAUUAGAUACCCGGGUAGUC